rnacentral:snRNA from 1 species
AUCGCUUCUCGGCCUUUUGGCUAAGAUCAAGUGUAGUAUCUGUUCUUAUCAGUUUAAUAUCUGAUACGUCCCCUACCCGGGGACCAUAUAUUAAAUAGAUUUUUGGAACAGGGAGAUGGAAUAGGGGCUUGCUCCGUCCACUCCACGCAUCGACCUGGUAUUGCAGUAUCUCCAGGAACGGUGCACUUCCU